rnacentral:rRNA from 1 species
GUCUCUCUUGAGUGGAUCCUGAGUACGACGGAGCACGUGAAAUUCCGUCGGAAUCUGGGAGGACCAUCUCCUAAGGCUAAAUACUCUCUAGUGACCGAUAGUGAACCAGUACCGUGAGGGAAAGGUGAAAAGCACCCCGGAAGGGGAGUGAAAUAGAACCUGAAACCGUGUGCUUACAAGUAGUCAGAGCCCGUUAAUGGGUGAUGGCGUGCCUUUUGUAGAAUGAACCGGCGAGUUACGAUUUGAUGCAAGGUUAAGCAGUAAAUGUGGAGCCGUAGCGAAAGCGAGUCUGAAUAGGGCGUUUAGUAUUUGGUCGUAGACCCGAAACCAGGUGAUCUACCCUUGGUCAGGUUGAAGUUCAGGUAACACUGAAUGGAGGACCGAACCGACUUACGUUGAAAAGUGAGCGGAUGAACUGAGGGUAGCGGAGAAAUUCCAAUCGAACCUGGAGAUAGCUGGUUCUCUCCGAAAUAGCUUUAGGGCUAGCCUCAAGUGAUGAUUAUUGGAGGUAGAG